UACGUAGGUGGCAAGCGUUGUCCGGAAUUAUUGGGCGUAAAGCGCGCGCAGGCGGUCCUUUAAGUCUGAUGUGAAAGCCCACGGCUCAACCGUGGAGGGUCAUUGGAAACUGGGGGACUUGAGUGCAGGAGAGAAGAGUGGAAUUCCACGUGUAGCGGUGAAAUGCGUAGAAGAUGUGGAGGAACACCAGUGGCGAAGGCGACUCUUUGGCCUGUAACUGACGCUGAGGCGCGAAGGCUAGGGGAGCGAACGGG
rnacentral:rRNA from 1 species